rnacentral:lncRNA from 1 species
CAUUCUUUAACAAAUAUACCCCCACUGUUACACUUUCGGGCCACAUUUACCCUUCCACCGUUAAAACUUGUUUCCUCAAUUUUUAUAAACACGUGGCAUUCUCUCAUUGGUUCAUAUUAACCCACCCAUUGAAACUAGUCAUCUGGUUCAUAUUUCUCUUUCUCUAUUCCAAAUUUCCAUAUUCAACGCCCAUUACACUACAAAGCUAGCAGCUGAAGUUUCCGCGCGCGCACACACAUAUAGAGUAGAUAUUCGGAUUUGUUGCUUCCUGAAAUUGUAGCUGCCAUGGGAAAUUGCUGCUCCAACGAGAGCGGUGGACAUUCGUCAGUUGGCGGUACCGGCGCUUACGUGGUCAAUCCAAACAACGGUCAUAACGAAGCCGUUGAUGCUCUCCUCAAGUCUCGCGGUUACGACGGCGUCUAUUCGCAUGUCGAGGUUCUUCACUCUCUCUGUGUUUUCACAUUUUCCUAUACUAUCUGUUAGCAGAUGACUAGUUUCUAUUUUUUGUUUUCUUUUUCCCACUAAUGGUGCGGAUUUAUGUAUCGUUGACUUGGCUUUGACUGUGAGAAGAAUUCGAAUCUACCGUAUUAUGCCCUUUCUGAACUGGCAGCCUGCUUAGAUCUGUCCUCAGCAUUUUACUGUCAUAUUUUUAGAGUUUAGUUGGAUGAUUGUGGUUGAUUAAGAUCCUUGAUGGGGAAUUCGUGUUAGGUGAGGAUAUAGUACUGUUUCUUGUCAUUUAUCAGAUUGGACUUGCAAGUUGAAUUGUCAUUGACUUUGGGUAGAAGAUUCUAGAAACUGCCGUAUUGUGUGAUUGCUGAACCGCCAGCUCGAUAGACGUUUCUCUCAACAUUUUGACUUUGCUAGUUCAGUUUGUUCUAUAUCUAUGUUAAGGGAUUGUAUGCUUGUCCACAACAGAGAAACAAACUGUAUUAUGUUAUUAAACUGAAGUAUAUUGGUUGGAGAGGAUACUAUA